CUGAUGUUUAAUUAGUUAUCAAGUGAUUCCUCUCCAGACUCCAUAGGACUGAUCAAGGGAAAAUGAGUAAUUGGAGGCACUUCAUCUAAAUAAAGAUCCUUAUAAUACAAGAUAAUCAAGAUAACAAGAUGGCACUCAUGUAUGAGUACAUGAUCAAUGGCAACCUGAAAGAUUGUCUCUCAGGUACACCUUUUACACUGCUGCCAGGCGUGUAGCUGCAUGUCUUUAUUGUUCUGUUAAAUUCAAAAGGUUUGAGUGUUCAAGACCUGUAGAAGUACUACUAAGUGAGAAACCAAGGAGAAGUGUUUGUUUAAUUCUUGAUGAUUGUUUUCAUGUAGUUGAGCUUGAGAUUUUGUCUUAAUAUUGAUAUCAAUGUUACUUUGUUAGGACAUGGGUCUUAAUAUAGAGUUCAAUGCUGUAUUGUUUACUGCUAAAAAUUUUGCUUUUCCUGCGGCUCAGGAACAUCAAAUUUCUUUAACUAUUGUUUACAUAUUGAUAGUUAUUUUAGAAACUCUUCUCCUUCCGAUCUUCCUGCGCAUUAGCUAUGACAUUAGCUGAUACCUAGCUGUAUAUUAGCUCUGAAAUUGGCUGCUGAUUUAGCUGUCAAAUUGCUGUUGCUGUGAAUUAGCUGCGAAACAGUGCUAUGGAAUACGCGAAUUAACUCUCAAAUUAGCUGCGAGUAAAUUUGGCUGCUAAUGCGCAUGGGAUUAGCUUCCAAAAUCCUUUUCUUUUCUCCAAUCGUGUUAAGAAUCGCAUUGCAAAUCCUUAAUGGCAAAUUGCUGAAGCUGAUUGCAGGUUUUGCAUGCAAGCUUGGUGUAGGAUUUGGUUGGUGAUCCAGUUUGGUUGCUUUUGAAACUAUCCCUUUCGUUUGUGACUGUUUCUCAAGCUGGGAGUUUCAUUUUCUGCACACAAUUGUACACUACUCACUAGGUGUUCCAUAAAAUGCCUUUCAGAAUAAACUGUUACAUACUUUGUAGCUUGAUGAUCACAAAAGUAUAGAAUAGACAACAUACCAUUAAAUGAAGGUAUAACAUGUAUACUAUUUAACUUGAUCCCUCUUCUUCAAGAGAAUUUAUAUUCAUCCUUCAAUUGGAAUAUUUGUAGACUUAAGUUGUAUGAACUUGGAUUUGCAUUUAGUAGCGACCAUGCGAUUGUAUAUAAUCUAAAAUUGAACAUUCCUGUAAUUUGAAAUUUGAUAAUAUACAAGAAGUACGCAUGCAACAUUACUUUAUUGUACUCACAUUCUAUUUAUAUCUGUCCCUUUCUAGCUCCUACACACUAUAUCUUGAUUCUCGCAAGUGAAUUGACAUUGUUAAUUGAAAAAGUGUGUUUAUAUACUUCAUUAUUAUUCAUAGAGUCUACCUAUGUAAUAAGUAUGAAUAUGGAGAGAGAGAUAACGCAUAAUUUCAACUUGAGAAAACUUGAUAGAAUUUACAA